AUGAUGAAAGCAAAGUACUAUCCUCAUGGGAACCUGCUGGAAACUGUAUUCCCUCAAGUGACAUCGACUGCUUGGCAAGAUGAAUUUGUGUUUCAUGCUCUGGUGAUAUGUCUCAAGGCACGAGCGCUCCAUAUGGCGGUAAGGGAGUUAACAUCGCCGGUGCGUGAGCAAGUUAUAUUCAUGUUUUGGAGGGCAUGGCACCUGAGGAAUGCUAAUCUUUGGAAGACGGAGGUGACCAACAAAGUUGUGAAUUGGCAGCCUCCCGAUCCGGAGUCCAUGAAGAUUAAUGUUGAUGCAAGCUUUGUGGAGGUCAUUAGCUCUGCAAGUGUGAGUGUGGUUGCCAGGAACAAUUUGGGAGAAGUGAUCAUUUCUUCCUGGGAUUAUAUUGGGGCUUGCAAUAGCAUGGAUAAAGCGGAACUUAGAGCGACCCUUGUAGGGCUUUACAUCGGUAUUACUCUACACAAGCCCAUCAUCUUAGAAACCGAUUGUUCUUUUGUGGCUUCCUUUCUAGGAAAUGAUUAUUUGGACAUGUCCUCCCUAGUUGACCUGAAGAUGGAAGCACUGAGCAUUUCCAGGUUGAUGACUAGUUUCAAGUUAUCCAAGAUUAACAGAAGGGCCAAUAGGGUGGCGCAUGAGAUUGCUAAAUUCAGUUCCGUUAAUAGGUCUGAUGGUGUGAGUCUUAAUAGUGUUCCGCCUUGCGUGGUUGAAGUUGUAAUUGUAUGA
rnacentral:rRNA from 1 species